rnacentral:rRNA from 1 species
UACGCAGGUGGCUAGCGUUGCUCGGAAUCACUGGGCGUAAAGCGCACGUAGGCGGCUUCUUAAGUCAGGGGUGAAAUCCUGGGGCUCAACCCCAGAACUGCCCUUGAUACUGAGGAGCUUGAGUCCGGGAGAGGUGAGUGGAACUCCGAGUGUAGAGGUGAAAUUCGUAGAUAUUCGGAAGAACACAAGUGGCGAAGGCGGCUCACUGGCCCGGUACUGACGCUGAGGUGCGAAAGCGUGGGGAGCAAACAGG